UGUUCGUUUCGUCAAAGCAAUCACUUCCAUUAUAAAGGAGCUAAGUAUCAAUAACUUUUGCUUAUUUGAUUUUUCUUUGUUUUUGAUUAUUGCACCCAACAGAAUCAUGGAGAGAUGUGGUUGUUUCUGAACCAUAUCUUCGUACACAGGAUAACUAUCGAGCGGCAUUUGCCGGUGAGUCUUUGUAUUGGUUGACUGAUCUUAGAAACGGUAGUUAUUCAGAUAAGAGAAAGAUACUUGGUUUUGAUGUUACUAAAGAAGCAUUUUACACAAUAAAAUAUCCCGAGGGAGAUUUGAAUGAUUCUAAACUACUUGAAAUUGAUGGAUCACUCUGUUUCCUUAAUUAUGUGUCGUCCACGGGGAAGUUGAAGGUUAAAGGAGGAUAAGGAAAAGAAUCAACAUCAAGAAUAUGAAUGGGUAUAGAAGUACAAUGUUGAUAAUAUGCCUAGUAUAAAUGGUUUGAGGCCACCAAACAUUGGUUGUAAAUCUGAUUGUUGUUAUGCAAUCGUCACAAAUCCCACAGUUAAAAUCAUAUUUUGGACCUACAACAGGCGCCCUCAUGAGGCAAACGGGGAGAACGGCGGUGGUUAUGAGUUUUAUGAGUUUUGCAGUUAUGAUAUCCAUUUAAAAAAUUUGGAAUCCAUCUUUAAGAUGAGAAAGAAGAUAUCUUACCUGUGGCAUCUCAACCGCCUUGCCCACUUCUAGUCGAACUAUAUAUGCUGGGUUUGUAAGAUGGAACUUAUAAGACAGAUAAGUGAAAGAAGCAUGAUGUGCGGGAGCAAUAGAAUCAACAACUGGGCCUUUGGAGAGUUACGAUUCGUAAGCAACCAACCGCAAGGGACUUAAGAAUUUAGUAACUUUUUUCUUUUGUUAAUCUGAGCCUCACAGGUGACUAUUAAUAAGGUAAAUGAGUUAAGUUAUAGAUUUGGAUCUAUGACUAUGUGAAAAGAUCCUAUGAUAAACUAGGAGGCAUAUCUACUACUACCAAAGGAAUGUAAUGUAGAAGAAUAUAAAUGGAACUUGUGUGAUUGUGUGAU